rnacentral:misc_RNA from 1 species
AGCGAAGGGGCGUGGCGAGACUAAUAUUGAUAUUGAACUGUAGUCCAAAGAGGCUCCUCUGGCCUGUCGUAACUUCAUACAAUUGUGUUUAGAAGAUUAUUAUAAUGAUACCAUAUUCCACAGAGUCGUUUUUGAGUUUGUAGCUCAAGGUGGUGAUCCCACUGGUACAGGAGAAGAU